CGGGGCGUGGCGCAGCCCGGUAGCGCACCUGCUUUGGGAGCAGGGGGUCGCCGGUUCGAAUCCGGCCGCCCCGA
rnacentral:tRNA from 1 species